UGGAGAGGAAGUGGAGAGGAAAGAAAGAGUGAGCGCUUGGGAGUAUAUAUAAUAUUACUUAUCCUCGUUAUUUCCUCGUAAAGUUACGAGGAAUUACAAAGGCCCGCGUGUUUUAUUGUACGAGGAAGUAGCGAGGAAUUACAAAGGCCCGCGUUUAGCUUUACGAGGAAUUACAAAGGCCCGUGUUUUAUUGUACGAGGAAGUAGCGAGAAAUUACAAAGUCCCGCGUUUAGGUUUACGAGUUUUUUACGACGAUUAAGCUUACGUGGAAUUUACGAGUCAACCUUUUACGAGGAAUUAUCGAGCCCCGCUUUUCAGAAGCUAACUUUGUCUGCUUGUGAAACUAAGAUGAAAGGCUCGAAUUUGUUGUACCUU
rnacentral:lncRNA from 1 species